UACGUAGGGUGCAAGCGUUGUCCGGAAUUAUUGGGCGUAAAGCGCGUGUAGGCGGUUGCCAAAGUCGGGUGUGAAAGCCUUGAGCUCAACUCAAGAAAUGCACUCGAUACUUGGUGACUAGAGGACCGGAGAGGAUAGUGGAAUUCCCAGUGUAGUGGUGAAAUACGUAGAGAUUGGGAAGAACACCAGUGGCGAAGGCGGCUAUCUGGACGGUUUCUGACGCUAAGACGCGAAAGCGUGGGGAGCAAACAGG
rnacentral:rRNA from 1 species